rnacentral:rRNA from 1 species
GAUGAACGCUGGCGGCGUGCUUAACACAUGCAAGUCGAACGAAGCACUUUAUUUGUUUUCCUUCGGGACUGAUUAUUUUGUGACUGAGUGGCGGACGGGUGAGUAACGCGUGGGUAACCUGCCUUGUACAGGGGGAUAACAGUUGGAAACGGCUGCUAAUACCGCAUAAGCGCACGGCAUCGCAUGAUGCAGUGUGAAAAACUCCGGUGGUAUAAGAUGGACCCGCGUUGGAUUAGCUAGUUGGUGAGGUAACGGCCCACCAAGGCGACGAUCCAUAGCCGACCUGAGAGGGUGACCGGCCACAUUGGGACUGAGACACGGACCAAACUCCUACGGGAGGCAGCAGUGGGGAAUAUUGCACAAUGGGCGAAAGCCUGAUGCAGCGACGCCGCGUGAGCGAAGAAGUAUUUCGGUAUGUAAAGCUCUAUCAGCAGGGAAGAUAAUGACGGUACCUGACGAAGAAGCACCGGCUAAAUACGUG